rnacentral:rRNA from 1 species
CGGCGGACGGGUGAGUAACGCGUGGGUAACCUGCCUCAUACAGGGGGAUAACAGUUAGAAAUGACUGCUAAUACCGCAUAAGACCACAGCACCGCAUGGUGCGGGGGUAAAAACUCCGGUGGUAUGAGAUGGACCCGCGUCUGAUUAGCUAGUUGGUAAGGUAACGGCUUACCAAGGCGACGAUCGGUAGCCGACCUGAGAGGGUGACCGGCCACAUUGGGACUGAGACACGGCCCAA